GACGAACGCUGGCGGCGCGCUUAACACAUGCAAGUCGAGCGAGAACCGGAGCCUCGGCUCCGGGGAAAGCGGCGAACGGGUGAGUAACACGUGGGUAACCCACCCUUGGUAUCCGGAUAGCCCGGGGAAACCCGGAUUAAUACGGAAUGGCCCAACAGCCUCCCGGGGCGGUUGGAAAGGUAGCUUCGGCCUCCGACCAAGGACGGGCCCGCGGCGGAUUAGCUUGUUGGUGCGGGUAACGGCCCACCAAGGCAACGAUCCGUAGCUGGCUGAGAGGACGAUCAGCCACACUGGGACUGAGACACGGCCCAGACUCCUACGGGAGGCAGCAGUGGGGAAUCUUGCGCAAUGGGCGAAAGCCUGACGCAGCGACGCCGCGUGGGGGAAGAAGGCUUUCGGG
rnacentral:rRNA from 1 species